rnacentral:rRNA from 1 species
ACUCCUACGGGAGGCAGCAGUGGGGAAUAUUGCACAAUGGGCGCAAGCCUGAUGCAGCCAUGCCGCGUGUGUGAAGAAGGCCUUCGGGUUGUAAAGCACUUUCAGUUGUGAGGAAGGUGGUGUCGUUAAUAGCGGCAUCAUUUGACGUUAGCAACAGAAGAAGCACCGGCUAACUCCGUGCCAGCAGCCGCGGUAAUACGGAGGGUGCGAGCGUUAAUCGGAAUUACUGGGCGUAAAGCGCAUGCAGGUGGUUUGUUAAGUCAGAUGUGAAAGCCCGGGGCUCAACCUCGGAACUGCAUUUGAAACUGGCAGACUAGAGUACUGUAGAGGGGGGUAGAAUUUCAGGUGUAGCGGUGAAAUGCGUAGAGAUCUGAAGGAAUACCGGUGGCGAAGGCGGCCCCCUGGACAGAUACUGACACUCAGAUGCGAAAGCGUGGGGAGCAAACAGGAUUAGACA